UCAUAUUACAAAUAUAUUCAUGGUUUCGAAUUAACCUCUAACCAACAUAAAUUUAAUUACACAUUAUUAAAAACAGAAAUAAAAUAUGAGUUCGGAAGGAUUUAACCGAAAGAGAAGGGUGCUUGCUGCUUCUGUCUGUCUUCCUCCCCGAGGCUCACUGUCUUUCCCGCUCACCUCUGCCCUCACUUCUCGUCCCCGCAGUCCCGUGCUCCUUGCGCCACGUGCUGCAAGGCAGCUUCUCUCUCUCUCUCGCACCAGCUGCCAAAUGGCAGCUCUCAUCUUUCUUUUUUUAUAUAUUUUCUUUUUCUCCUUCUGCCGCAAGGCAGCUGUGCUGCCAGCCUUCUGUCCUCCCUUUAUUUUCUGCAACUGUCCUCUCCUUGUUCU
rnacentral:lncRNA from 1 species